rnacentral:rRNA from 1 species
CCGGCGAUGUCCGAAUGGGGAAACCCAGUGCAAUUCGUUGCACUAUCGUUAACUGAAUACAUAGGUUAACGAGGCGAACCGGGGGAACUGAAACAUCUAAGUACCCCGAGGAAAAGAAAUCAACCGAGAUUCCCCCAGUAGCGGCGAGCGAACGGGGAGCAGCCCAGAGUCUGAAUCAGCUUGUGUGUUAGUGGAACGGUCUGGAAAGUCCGACGGUACAGGGUGAUAGUCCCGUACACCAAAAUGCACAGGCUGUGAACUCGAAGAGUAGGGCGGGACACGUGGUAUCCUGUCUGAAUAUGGGGGGACCAUCCUCCAAGGCUAAAUACUCCUGACUGACCGAUAGUGAACCAGUACCGUGAGGGAAAGGCGAAAAGAACCCCGGCGAGGGGAGUGAAAAAGAACCUGAAACCGUGUACGUACAAGCAGUGGGAGCACCUUCGGGUGUGACUGCGUACCUUUUGUAUAAUGGGUCAGCGACUUAUAUUCUGUAGCAAGGUUAACCGUAUAGGGGAGCCGCAGGGAAACCGAGUCUUAACUGGGCGUUAAGUUGCAGGGUAUAGACCCGAAACCCGGUGAUCUAGCCAUGGGCAGGUUGAAGGUUGGGUAACACUAACUGGAGGACCGAACCGACUAAUGUUGAAAAAUUAGCGGAUGACUUGUGGCUGGGGGUGAAAGGCCAAUCAAACCGGGAGAUAGCUGGUUCUCCCCGAAAGCUAUUUAGGUAGCGCCUCGUGAAUUCAUCUUCGGGGGUAGAGCACUGUUUCGGCUAGGGGGUCAUCCCGACUUACCAACCCGAUGCAAACUACGAAUACCGAAGAAUGUUAUCACGGGAGACACACGGCGGGUGCUAACGUCCGUCGUGAAGAGGGAAACAACCCAGACCGCCAGCUAAGGUCCCAAAGUCAUGGUUAAGUGGGAAACGAUGUGGGAAGGCACAGACAGCCAGGAUGUUGGCUUAGAAGCAGCCAUCAUUUAAAGAAAGCGUAAUAGCUCACUGGUCGAGUCGGCCUGCGCGGAAGAUGUAACGGGGCUAAACCAUGCACCGAAGCUGCGGCAGCGACACUAUGUGUUGUUGGGUAGGGGAGCGUUCUGUAAGCCUGCGAAGGUGACCUGUGAGGGUUGCUGGAGGUAUCAGAAGUGCGAAUGCUGACAUAAGUAACGAUAAAGCGGGUGAAAAGCCCGCUCGCCGGAAGACCAAGGGUUCCUGUCCAACGUUAAUCGGGGCAGGGUGAGUCGACCCCUAAGGCGAGGCCGAAAGGCGUAGUCGAUGGGAAACAGGUUAAUAUUCCUGUACUUGGUGUUACUGCGAAGGGGGGACGGAGAAGGCUAUGUUAGCCGGGCGACGGUUGUCCCGGUUUAAGCAUGUAGGCUGGUUAUCCAGGCAAAUCCGGAUAAUCAAGGCUGAGGUGUGAUGACGAGGCACUACGGUGCUGAAGUAACAAAUGCCCUGCUUCCAGGAAAAGCCUCUAAGCAUCAGGUAACAUCAAAUCGUACCCCAAACCGACACAGGUGGUCAGGUAGAGAAUACCAAGGCGCUUGAGAGAACUCGGGUGAAGGAACUAGGCAAAAUGGUGCCGUAACUUCGGGAGAAGGCACGCUGGUGUGUAGGUGAAGUCCCUGCGGAUGGAGCUGAGACCAGUCGAAGAUACCAGCUGGCUGCAACUGUUUAUUAAAAACACAGCACUGUGCAAACACGAAAGUGGACGUAUACGGUGUGACGCCUGCCCGGUGCCGGAAGGUUAAUUGAUGGGGUUAUCCGUAAGGAGAAGCUCUUGAUCGAAGCCCCGGUAAACGGCGGCCGUAACUAUAACGGUCCUAAGGUAGCGAAAUUCCUUGUCGGGUAAGUUCCGACCUGCACGAAUGGCGUAAUGAUGGCCAGGCUGUCUCCACCCGAGACUCAGUGAAAUUGAACUCGCUGUGAAGAUGCAGUGUACCCGCGGCAAGACGGAAAGACCCCGUGAACCUUUACUAUAGCUUGACACUGAACAUUGAGCCUUGAUGUGUAGGAUAGGUGGGAGGCUUUGAAGCGUGGACGCCAGUCUGCGUGGAGCCAACCUUGAAAUACCACCCUUUAAUGUUUGAUGUUCUAACGUUGGCCCCUUACCGGGGUUGCGGACAGUGUCUGGUGGGUAGUUUGACUGGGGCGGUCUCCUCCCAAAGCGUAACGGAGGAGCACGAAGGUUAGCUAAUCCUGGUCGGACAUCAGGAGGUUAGUGCAAUGGCAUAAGCUAGCUUGACUGCGAGCGUGACGGCGCGAGCAGGUGCGAAAGCAGGUCAUAGUGAUCCGGUGGUUCUGAAUGGAAGGGCCAUCGCUCAACGGAUAAAAGGUACUCCGGGGAUAACAGGCUGAUACCGCCCAAGAGUUCAUAUCGACGGCGGUGUUUGGCACCUCGAUGUCGGCUCAUCACAUCCUGGGGCUGAAGUAGGUCCCAAGGGUAUGGCUGUUCGCCAUUUAAAGUGGUACGCGAGCUGGGUUUAGAACGUCGUGAGACAGUUCGGUCCC